UUAGUGGCAGACGGGUGAGUAAUGCAUAGGAAUCUACCCAAUAGUAUAGGAUAGCCUCUGGAAACGGUGGGUAAUACUGUAUAAUCCCUGCGGGGGAAAGAUUUAUCGCUAAUGGAUGAGCCUAUGUUAGAUUAGCUAGUUGGUGGGGUAAUUGCCUACCAAGGCUGUGAUCUAUAGCUGGUCUGAGAGGAUGAUCAGCCACACUGGAACUGAGACACGGUCCAGACUCCUACGGGAGGCAGCAGUGGGGAAUAUUGGACAAUGGGCGCAAGCCUGAUCCAGCUAUGCCGCGUGAGUGAAGAAGGCCUUAGGGUUGUAAAACUCUUUCAGCAGGGAAGAUAAUG
rnacentral:rRNA from 1 species